UUUUUUGGCAGAACUAAAACCCAGUGUUCCAGCUCAGGAGGACUUUCUUGCAGCUUUUCUUGUCCUCGUAAUGGAAAUUCUGGUUUCUAAGACAACUCAUUAUUGAGAUAUUGGGAUCCUCACAGCAGGAAUCAUGGACUCAUCCACCUCAGUAGCAUCAACUCCAAACAUAUGAAUUGCCAUAUGCUUCCCAAACCUCCUGCAGUCCAACAGGCUACGUUUGAGAAUCUCAAGUUCAGUGUUAUCUCUCACAAAGUGGAAAGAGAACACAUUCUAGUGGCUCUUCGGCAACUAAGGACAACAACGACAUGUACAACAGAGCAAGAUUUUGCAGAAGGUAUUUAUCAGUGUUGUACAUAGUGACAAAGAAAGGAACCCUAAACA